rnacentral:rRNA from 1 species
AGAGUUUGAUCCUGGCUCAGAACGAACGUUGGCGGCGUGCUUAACACAUGCAAGUCGAACGAGAAAGUUUUCUUCGGAGAACGAGUACAGUGGCGCACGGGUGAGUAACGCGUAAGUAAUCUACCUUGGCAUCUGGAAUAACUACGGGAAGCUGUAGCUAAUACCGGAUACGUUUAUAGAGUUACGACUCUAUACAGAAAGAUGACCUCUUCUUGAAAGUUAUCGUGCUAAGAGGAGCUUGCGUACCAUUAGCUAGUUGGUAGGGUAAAGGCCUACCAAGGCGACGAUGGUUAGCGGGUCUGAGAGGAUGAUCCGCCACACUGGAACUGGAACACGGACCAGACUCCUACGGGAGGCAGCAGUGAGGAAUAUUGCGCAAUGGGGGAAACCCUGACGCAGCGACGCCGCGUGGAUGAUGAAGGCCUUCGGGUCGUAAAAUCCUGUCAGAUGGGAAGAAAUGUAUGUAGGAAUAAUACCCUAUGUGCUUGACGGUACCAUCAAAG